UACCUUAAUCAGGGGGAUAGCCUCUCGAAAGAGAGAUUAAGACCGCAUAACAUUGCACUAUGGCAUCAUAGAACAAUCAAAUAUUUAUAGGAUUAAGAUGGGCAUGCGGAACAUUAGCUAGUUGGUAAGGUAAUGGCUUACCAAGGCUACGAUGUUUAGGGGAUCUGAGAGGAUGACCCCCCACACUGGUACUGAGACACGGACCAGACUCCUACGGGAGGCAGCAGUAAGGAAUAUUGGUCAAUGGGCGGAAGCCUGAACCAGCCAUGCCGCGUGCAGGAAGACUGCCCUACGGGUUG
rnacentral:rRNA from 1 species